rnacentral:misc_RNA from 1 species
UUUAAUGAACCUACUAUCGAGCCGACUCGUUAGUCUUAACGAACUGAUUACUGCUAAGUUCGAGCUCAGCUAAUGAGCCUAAAAAUAAGGCUCGAGCUUAGCUUGCUUAUAUAAUGAGCCAAACCGAGCGGCGCCUCAAGCAGCUUGGUUCGUUUACACCCCUACAUGGUUUUGAUGACCCAAACAACUCAUAAGAUUCGUCUGUACAUAUUCCAGUACAAAAAUAAUUACCAGUGAAUGAUAGCAGCAUGCAAAAUUAUUGAAACCACAAUAUGAACUUGAGAACAAUAAGAAGUACCUUGUAAGAAGAAAUGUUGCUAG